GGCGCACGGGUGAGUAACACGUAGCUAACCUGCCCCGGAGAGGGGGAUAACUGUUGGAAACGGCAGCUAAUACCCCAUAAGCUCACAUCGAGUAGGUAGAGGUGAGAAAAAGCCGAGGUGCUCUGGGAGGGGGCUGCGGUCCAUCAGCUAGUUGGUAGGGUAACGGCCUACCAAGGCGAAGACGGAUAGGGGGCCUGAGAGGGUGACCCCCCACACUGGCACUGAGAUACGGGCCAGACUCCUACGGGAGGCAGCAGUGAGGAAUAUUACGCAAUGAGCGAAAGCUAGACGCAGCAACGCCGCGUGAACGAUGAAGGCCUUCGGGUUGUAAAGUUCUUUUCUGGGGGAAGAAAUGGACGGUACCUCAGGAAUAAGUGUCGGCUAACUACGUGCCAGCAGCCGCGGUAAAACGUAGGACGCGAGCGUUAUCCGGAUUUACUGGGCGUAAAGCGCGUGCAGGCGGCCUGUUAAGUCGUGCGUGAAAGCUCCCUGGCUCAACCGGGAGAGGUCGUACGAUACUAGCGGGCUGGAGGGCAGCA
rnacentral:rRNA from 1 species